AGUGCUGAAUGACUUGUGUUUGUCCCUAGUGAAUUCUCAGAAGGGAAUUCUACUCUGCUCCAUCAGACAACUAUGGGAAAAGGGUCCCAUCAUCCACUCACAUCAUCCACUCACAUCAUCCACUCACAUCAUCCACUCACAUCACAGAGGAAAUGACCUGUGAUUCCAAACCAACGCACCUGCAAGUCCAUCCUAUAAGACAGUAGGGUGACAUGCGGUAAGGUAUGAGGAGGUAUCCUAUAAGACAGUAGGGUGACAUACGGUAAGGUAUGAGGAGGUAUCCUAUAAGACAGUAGGGUGACAUACGGUAAGGUAUGAGGAGGUAUCCUAUAAGACAGUAGGGUGACAUACGGUAAGGUAUGAGGAGGUAUCCUAUAAGACAGUAGGGUGACAUACGGUAAGACAUGAGGAGGUAUCCUAUAAGACAGUAGGGUGACAUGCAGUAAGACAUGAGGAGGUAUCCUAUAAGACAGUAGGGUGACAUACGGUAAGACAUGAGGAGGUAUCCUAUAAGACAGUAGGGUGACAUGAGGAGGUAUCCUAUAAGACAGUAGGGUGACAUGCAGUAAGACAUGAGGAGGUAUCCUAUAAGACAGUAGGGUGACAUGAGGAGGUAUCCUAUAAGACAGUAGGGUGACAUACGGUAAGACAUGAGGAGGUAUCCUAUAAGACAGUAGGGUGACAUACGGUAAGACAUGAGGAGGUAUCCUAUAAGACAGUAGGGUGACAUGCAGUAAGACAUGAGGAGGUAUCCUAUAAGACAGUAGGGUGACAUACGGUAAGACAUGAGGAGGUAUCCUAUAAGACAGUAGGGUGACAUGCAGUAAGACAUGAGGAGGUAUCCUAUAAGACAGUAGGGUGACAUACGGUAAGACAUGAGGAGGUAUCCUAUAAGACAGUAGGGUGACAUGCAGUAAGACAUGAGGAGGUAUCCUAUAAGACAGUAGGGUGACAUGCGGUAAGGUAUGAGGAGGUAUCCUAUAAGACAGUAGGGUGACAUGCGGUAAGACAUGAGGAGGUAUCCUAUAAGACAGUAGGGUGACAUACGGUAAGACAUGAGGAGGUAUCCUAUAAGACAGUAGGGUGACAUACAGUAAGACAUGAGGAGGUAUCCUAUAAGACAGUAGGGUGACAUACGGUAAGACAUGAGGAGGUAUCCUAUAAGACAGUAGGGUGACAUACGGUAAGACAUGAGGAGGUAUCCUAUAAGACAGUAGGGUGACAUACGGUAAGACAUGAGGAGGUAUCCUAUAAGACAGUAGGGUGACAUACGGUAAGACAUGAGGAGGUAUCCUAUAAGACAGUAGGGUGACAUACGGUAAGACAUGAGGAGGUAUCCUAUAAGACAGUAGGGUGACAUACGGUAAGACAUGAGGAGGUAUCCUAUAAGACAGUAGGGUGACAUACGGUAAGACAUGAGGAGGUAUCCUAUAAGACAGUAGGGUGACAUACGGUAAGACAUGAGGAGGUAUCCUAUAAGACAGUAGGGUGACAUACGGUAAGACAUGAGGAGGUAUCCUAUAAGACAGUAGGGUGACAUGCGGUAAGACAUGAGGAGGUAUCCUAUAAGACAGUAGGGUGACAUACGGUAAGACAUGAGGAGGUAUCCUAUAAGACAGUAGGGUGACAUACAGUAAGACAUGAGGAGGUAUCCUAUAAGACAGUAGGGUGACAUACGGUAAGACAUGAGGAGGUAUCCUAUAAGACAGUAGGGUGACAUGCAGUAAGACAUGAGGAGGUAUCCUAUAAGACAGUAGGGUGACAUACGGUAAGACAUGAGGAGGUAUCCUAUAAGACAGUAGGGUGACAUACGGUAAGACAUGAGGAGGUAUCCUAUAAGACAGUAGGGUGACAUACGGUAAGACAUGAGGAGGUAUCCUAUAAGACAGUAGGGUGACAUGCAGUAAGACAUGAGGAGGUAUCCUAUAAGACAGUAGGGUGACAUACGGUAAGACAUGAGGAGGUAUCCUAUAAGACAGUAGGGUGACAUGAGGAGGUAUCCUAUAAGACAGUAGGGUGACAUACGGUAAGACAUGAGGAGGUAUCCUAUAAGACAGUAGGGUGACAUACGGUAAGACAUGAGGAGGUAUCCUAUAAGACAGUAGGGUGACAUACGGUAAGACAUGAGGAGGUAUCCUAUAAGACAGUAGGGUGACAUACGGUAAGACAUGAGGAGGUAUCCUAUAAGACAGUAGGGUGACAUACGGUAAGACAUGAGGAGGUAUCCUAUAAGACAGUAGGGUGACAUACGGUAAGACAUGAGGAGGUAUCCUAUAAGACAGUAGGGUGACAUACGGUAAGACAUGAGGAG